UUGGAGGGCAAGUCUGGUGCCAGCAGCCGCGGUAAUUCCAGCUCCAAUAGCGUAUAUUAAAGUUGUUGCAGUUAAAAAGCUCGUAGUUGAAUUUCGGGGUCAGCAGGUUGGUCGUGCCUAUGGUAUGAACUGGCUUCGCUGGUCUCUCCUUUCUGAAGAACUGUAAUGCCAUUAAUUUGGUGUUGCAGGGACACAGGACUGUUACUUUGAAAAAAUUAGAGUGUUUAAAGCAGGCUAACGCUUGAAUACAUUAGCAUGGAAUAAUGAAAUAGGACGUUCGAACCUAUUUUGUUGGUUUCUAGGAUUGACGUAAUGAUUAAUAGGGAUAGUUGGGGGCAUUAGUAUUCAAUUGUCAGAGGUGAAAUUCUUGGAUUUAUUGAAGACUGACUACUGCGAAAGCAUUUGCCAAGGAUGUUUUCAUUAAUCAAGAACGAAAGUUAGGGGAUCGAAGACGAUCAGAUACCGUCGUAGUCUUAWCCAUAAACUAUGCCGACUAGGGAUCGGAUGAUGUUAAUUUUUUAAUGACUCAUUCGGCGCCUUACGGGAAAC
rnacentral:rRNA from 1 species